rnacentral:lncRNA from 1 species
CCCCUCCUCCCGUAGAAUUCACUUGAAGUGACUGGGGCAAGGUAGCUAUAAGUAUAAGUAGUUAUAUUAAUUUAAUUAAAGUCAAUUAAAAUUUACAAUUUGAGCUUUUUGAAUAUAGACCAUUGCAAUUUUUUUUUAAAUUUGUUUAACCCUUUAUAGUGGCAAUGGUCCCUACUUUAGUAUAUUACUCCUUCUGGUGCCAGACACUUUUACUCAAGGGCAGAAUGUAGACUUGCCACAAGUCGACCUCGAACGAAACGUUGUGAUGGAAAAUCUAUUCCCUACCUUUAUCCCCUGGGACAAAAAAUUCAAAUCAACUCUCCACCCUGAUAAUGUGCAGAUGGUAACAGCAAGAAUUGAAGCAAG